CCGCAUUCCCGCUAACGCACAAGUGCACAACACCAUCUCUCAACAAAAAAAAAAAAAAGAAUUCGAAAUUUCGAGGACAUUUUGAUUUGAUCUCUUGAUUUUUACUCCCAUUUCAAAAUCUCUCGGGGGGCAAUGGAGCUCACCGCCGCCACCGCGGGAGCGACCCGUGCCACCGGAGGAUUCCUCGGGACCAGCCGUCGCCGGCCGCAAUCGUGGGCUUUUCAGUUCUGCAGGGAUAUACAUCAGCACUGCUCAAAUGAAGCAUCAAUGCGUACCACAGAUAGAUUAGAAGUACAUAUAUAAAAGAGAUUACUGUUGGCUGGAGCAAAUGCAUCUGUGUGAUACGAUAGUGGUAAGGCACUCUGGUUCAGGAUGACCUGAGCAGUUAGCAUCUUUUGGACACACCUCUUUAGAAAACACAACCUCUCCCAGAAUCUGAGUUUCCUGCUUCUGCUGUACAGUAUUUAUCUUCAUCAAAUAUUUGAGAAAUAUUGUCCUAGCAAGGUGCCGGUUGUGAUGCAAUAUCAAAGGUCUUAAGUAUUUUUGGACCUGACCUACCUCGUUCUAGAAGGGGUUAUUGCACUCUACAUCAUUGAUGUUACUUAAGAUCAUAUAUGCCAUCUUUCAGUUGCUCAAGCUGUGGUGUUAGGUAAAGCUAUACUGAGCUUUGCAUCAUAUCCGCAUGCUUCCACAAUAUCCCACCUACUUUAGUUUUUGGGUUUUGCACGGUCCUUCUCAUGGGUAGAACCUUCACUAGACCUAACUCAUCCUAUGUAGUAUGAAUGUCAAAACAUCUUUAACCCUUUUCUUCUCUUUUGCUUUGUAAAGUAGAUUUAUUGAAAAGUUUAUGUGACUUUCAAGAGAAAAAAGUUACCUGGGCACUUAUGUGCCCACUCAUGUCAUGUAUGCAGCAUGUUGGAAAAGAGUGAGAGCAAUUUGGCAUGCAGUCAAACCAGCUGGGCAUUUCGCCUUGUUGGUAGGGAGAAUCUCAUCAGUUGUUCUAGUGCUCUAUAAUGGAGUACACAUGCAUGCCUUCAGAAUACUCUAAUCUUUUUUUCUUGUACAUAUAUGUCUAAUGUGCUAUCCUGUUCUUGCUUCGUCUCUUAAAAAAAGGAUUAUUUUGUUCUUGCCAUAUUUUGCUACUACUUAAUAGUAACUACCGUCUCAAUGUUUUUGAAAAAAAAAGUUGCUCGCUGUAUCUGUUGGGCUUGGAAUGUGGAACAAUGAAAUUGUUGAUUAGCGUAUGUAUUGCUGUACUUUCCCAUAGUGUAAGGUGUUUCCUGUGAAUGUUACUUCUUGUAUGUCUGGCGGUGGCCCCUUUGGAUACUUAGCAGUACACAAGCUUGAUUUGACAGAAACUAAACCAGACAAGUCUUAUUAGUGGUCAAACUUUGCAUACAUUACAUAUACAUAGUUACAUACCAUAUACCAUUUGCACAAUUUAAAAUUUUGACGUGUGUUAUAUAUCCUGAUCUUAUGAACUCCCAACUCAAAAGGUUUAACACUAAAUUCACGAAAAGGUUUAACACUAAGGAUGCAAUGGAUCGAUGAUUUAGUACUCCCAGAACAAAAAAGUUUUGACAGUAAUGAUAUUGGAUCCAUGCUGAUAGAUUAGGAUGGGGUUUCUAGUAACCAUGCAAGCAAUUGCUGUUUUCAUUACUCAACAAACUAAUUAAGUUCACAUAGUUCUUCCUUUAUUUGACUUGGGGGGAAAUAGAACAAAAGAUUUUUAUGAUGUAUUGAUGUCUCAAUCUUAGCAUUUUUUUGGACGUGCCUUGAUAUGCAGGUUACUAUGACCUGGUGUUUGCGCGUCUUGUAGUCCCUGUGGUUUCCUUUUUCAAGGUACAUCAAAAUUAAAGGAAUGGUAAUCAAUAGAUUUGUCAAAGACCAUGACUUUGGAAAGUUUAUGGUACUUGGACGAGCACCUUCAGAUGCUCCUGCAAGGUUAUAUAUGCUUGCACGCAUGUGGUGAUACUUCCUUUCCAUACCCCCAGGCAUGCACCAUGCUUCGUACAUUUUCUGAAGACUCCAACACUCCUACAUAACCAGCUCAGUUCCUCUAUCAUCUUACGUCUGCAUAGAGAGGCUUACACUACACCUGGAAACAAAUGAGGAUGGCCGGCAUGGAGGCUUACUUGUUGCCUAGAAGCUCAUGGAGCUUGAUGAUGAACUCGUCCUCCUCCUCGGUGAAAUUACCUCGCUUGAGGUCCGGUCUCAGGUAGUUGAUCCAUCGCAGCCGGCAGCUUU